GACGACCGCUGGCGGCGUGCUUAACACAUGCAAGUCGAGCGGAGCGGCGAACGGGUGAGUAACGCGAGAGUAACUGCCCCCCUCUCUGGGAUAACAGUUGGAAACGGCUGCUAAUACCGGAUAUUGGGGGAUGACUCGCCUCCUAUCAGCUUGUUGGUGGUGUAGUGGCCUACCAAGGCGACGACGGGUAGCCGGCCUGGGAGGGCGACCGGCCAUAUUGGGCGGAGUGACGGUCCAAAAUCCUACGGGAGGCAGCAGUGGGGAAUAUUGAACAAUGGGGGAAACCCUGAUGCAGCAACGCCGCGUGCGGGAUGACGGCCUUCGGGUUGUAAACCGCUUUCAGCAAUGACGCGGUAGUGGCAGAAGAAGCACCGGCUAACUACGUGCCAGCCGCCGCGGUAAUUC
rnacentral:rRNA from 1 species